AUUGAACGCUGGCGGCAUGCCUUACACAUGCAAGUCGAACGGUAACAGGUCUUCGGAUGCUGACAAGUGGCGAACGGGUGAGUAAUACAUCGGAACGUGCCCGAUCGUGGGGGAUAACGAGGCGAAAGCUUUGCUAAUACCGCAUACGAUCUACGGAUGAAAGCGGGGGAUCUUCGGACCUCGCGCGGACGGAGCGGCCGAUGGCAGAUUAGGUAGUUGGUGGGAUAAAAGCUUACCAAGCCGACGAUCUGUAGCUGGUCUGAGAGGAUGAUCAGCCACACUGGGACUGAGACACGGCCCAGACUCCUACGGGAGGCAGCAGUGGGGAAUUUUGGACAAUGGGCGAAAGCCUGAUCCAGCCAUGCCGCGUGCAGGAUGAAGGCCUUCGGGUUGUAAACUGCUUUUGUACGGAACGAAAAGCCUCUUUCUAAUAAAGAGGGGUCAUGACGGUACCGGAAGAAUAAGCACCGGCUAACUACGUG
rnacentral:rRNA from 1 species